rnacentral:rRNA from 1 species
UACGUAGGGGGCAAGCGUUGUCCGGAAUCAUUGGGCGUAAAGCGCGUGUAGGCGGCUUGGUAAGUCCGCUCUGAAAGCCCGGGGCUCAACCCUGGGAGGCGGGUGGAUACUGCUGAGCUCGAGUCCGGAAGAGGCGAGUGGAAUUCCUGGUGUAGCGGUGAAAUGCGCAGAUAUCAGGAGGAACACCGAUGGCGAAGGCAGCUCGCUGGGACGGUACUGACGCUGAGACGCGAAAGCGUGGGGAGCGAACAGG